GACGAACGCUGGCGGCGUGCCUAAUACAUGCAAGUUGAGCGCUGAAGGUUGGUACUUGUACCGACUGGAUGAGCAGCGAACGGGUGAGUAACGCGUGGGGAAUCUGCCUUUGAGCGGGGGACAACAUUUGGAAACGAAUGCUAAUACCGCAUAAAAACUUUAAACACAAGUUUUAAGUUUGAAAGAUGCAAUUGCAUCACUCAAAGAUGAUCCCGCGUUGUAUUAGCUAGUUGGUGAGGCAAAGGCUCACCAAGGCGAUGAUACAUAGCCGACCUGAGAGGGUGAUCGGCCACAUUGGGACUGAGACACGGCCCAAACUCCUACGGGAGGCAGCAGUAGGGAAUCUUCGGAAAUGGACGAAAGUCUGACCGAGCAACGCCGCGUGAGUGAAGAAGGUUUUCGGAUCGUAAAACUCUGUUGGUAGAGAAGAACGUUGGUGAGAGUGGAAAGCUCAUCAAGUGACGGUAACUACCCAGAAAGGGACGGCUAACUACGUG
rnacentral:rRNA from 1 species